UACGUAGGGCGCAAGCGUUAUCCGGAAUUAUUGGGCGUAAAGAGCUCGUAGGCGGUUUGUCGCGUCUGCCGUGAAAGUCCGGGGCUCAACUCCGGAUCUGCGGUGGGUACGGGCAGACUAGAGUGCAGUAGGGGAGACUGGAAUUCCUGGUGUAGCGGUGAAAUGCGCAGAUAUCAGGAGGAACACCGAUGGCGAAGGCAGGUCUCUGGGCCGAUACUGACGCUGAGGAGCGAAAGCGUGGGGAGCGAACAGG
rnacentral:rRNA from 1 species